GUUUUGAAAUGGACUGUAGACAUGUACCAACUCACUGACAUCAUCGAUGACGUCAUAGCGAUUUAACCCUAAAACCGGGGGAUUUAACCCUAAUUUUCCGAUUUACGGUAAUUUUUGCGAUUUAACCUAAAAUCGGAGCGUUUUACAUAUGACGUAAUGCGAUUUAACCCUAAUAACCGAGGCGUUUUAACCCUAAAAAUCGGGGCAUAUUAACCCUAAUAAUCCCGGUAACCCUAACCCUAUCACUAGGGACUUCAGACCACGUGACUUCUUGGCCCAAAAGCGUGCAAAUCGACGCCUGCACAAAUCGUGUGAUGGUCAUAUGUCAAGUCGUGUAGAGAAAUGUGGAACCGUUUUUCGAAAUGAAGGAAGUCUUGUACAGUUGGAGAAAGUUUCGGUUCGUCUUGUUGGAGCUUGCCUUCGUUUGGGACCAGCAAGAAUGGAGCUGUUACGUUCAUUUUUGACGGAGUUACGUAUGCGGAUGGAAGGGAAAGCGCCGCCAUAGUCACAGUAUGGAAAGCAGCGAGAAGUAUCCUGCGCUAAAUGAUGCUGAUGUACAAAUUGAAUUGCUCUUGGCUGUUUCGGUCCAUGCCUCGAUUCUUGUCUCCGAUGCUGUUAUGCUCGAUCUGGUUGAGCUCCGCAAGAAUAGCUGAAAGAGUGCCGAACUGGGAGAUGUGCUAUAUACUCUUGUUGCUAUUUGCUGUAUCUCUGCCGAUGAUGAUGUGCGUGCUACGAUUACCCCAGCCAAUACAAUGUCCUGUACAUGUACAUGUUGAGCUUAGUCAGUGCCUCUUCCGUGAUCAUUCUUUUUCUUGACACCAACCACGCCAACAGUCCGAAGCUAUCUCAGGACUGUAUUAUCAAUGUCUCCUGUUACUAACCACUACAUUGUAAACCAUACUAUUCAGCUAUUUCAUGCGGAGAAUCAAGAUUGUUUUUGGAUCUGGUGUACGGUUGCUAUGCGUUGCCAAGGACAGUGGGUUCUCUCAGUUUGA